GACGAACGCUGGCGGCGCGCCUAACACAUGCAAGUCGAACGAGCGAGAGAGAGUUUACUUUUUCGAGCGAGUGGCGAACGGGUGAGUAACGCGUGAGGAACCUGCCUCAAAGAGGGGGACAACAGUUGGAAACGACUGCUAAUACCGCAUAAGCCCACGGCUCGGCAUCGAGCAGAGGGAAAAGGAGCAAUCCGCUUUGAGAUGGCCUCGCUCCGAUUAGCUAGUUGGUGAGGUAAUGGCCCACCAAGGCGACGAUCGGUAGCCGGACUGAGAGGUUGAACGGCCACAUUGGGACUGAGACACGGCCCAGACUCCUACGGGAGGCAGCAGUGGGGAAUAUUGCACAAUGGGGGAAACCCUGAUGCAGCGACGCCGCGUGGAGGAAGAAGGUCUUCGGAUUGUAAACUCCUGUUGUUGAGGAAGAUAAUGACGGUACUCAACAAGGAAGUGACGGCUAACUACGUG
rnacentral:rRNA from 1 species